GACGAACCGAGCAAACGUUAUUCGGAAUCACUGGGCUUAAAGGGCGCGUAGGCGGGUCAGCAAGUCAGGGGUGAAAGCCCCCAGCUCAACUGGGGAAGUGCCUUUGAUACUGUUGAUCUCGAGGGAGGUAGGGGCGUGCGGAACUUCCGGUGGAGCGGUGAAAUGCGUAGAUAUCGGAAGGCACACCGGUGGCGAAAGCGGCGCGCUGGACCGCUUCUGGCGCUGAGGCGCGAAAGCCGGGGGAGCAAACGGG
rnacentral:rRNA from 1 species